rnacentral:snoRNA from 1 species
UAUUAAGCAUGACACUAUCCCGAACCUGAUUCCUGUUAAGAUUGACAACCCUGUCGGAUCUGACUUCUGAAAU